GAAUGGCAGGAGUGAUGACAAACAGCAAAAGCUGCCCCCUGUUGUCACUUGCAGCAUCAGCAAUCAUAGCAAUUUCACUAGCUGAUGCAUCAGAUGGCUGCAUCAAACUCCAUGAGGCCAGCCCACCUAGACCAAGUCCUAUGAUAACUCCUUUGUUGCUUCUCAUUCUGUUGAUCUGGUUAAGUGCUGGUUGCAGGAUGUUGUAGAGCACCCAAGCUAUUGCCGGAAUGAUGGGAAUAAGAAGGGCAAGUCCCCGGUUGUCGCCCUCAGCUAUUUCAGCAAUCUGUUGUGCUGCAAAGGCAGGAUCACAUGAGCUCAAUGUCGAGAAAACAGCACUUGCAAGG
rnacentral:lncRNA from 1 species